CCUACGGGGUGCAGCAGUGGGGAAUAUUGGGCAAUGGGCGCAAGCCUGACCCAGUAACGCCGCGUGAAGGAAGAAGGCUUUCGGGUUGUAAACUUCUUUUAAGGGGGAAGAGCAGAAGACGGUACCCCUUGAAUAAGCCACGGCUAACUACGUGCCAGCAGCCGCGGUAAUACGUAGGUGGCAAGCGUUGUCCGGAUUUACUGGGUGUAAAGGGCGUGCAGCCGGAGAGACAAGUCAGAUGUGAAAUCCACGGGCUCAACCCGUGAACUGCAUUUGAAACUGUUUCCCUUGAGUGUCGGAGAGGUAAUCGGAAUUCCUUGUGUAGCGGUGAAAUGCGUAGAUAUAAGGAAGAACACCAGUGGCGAAGGCGGAUUACUGGACGAUAACUGACGGUGAGGCGCGAAAGCGUGGGGAGCAAACAGGAUUAGAUACCCCGGUAGUC
rnacentral:rRNA from 1 species